ACUACCUUCUAUUCUACGUACUUUGAUUACGCAAUCCUAAAGGGCGGUGAAUUUCGAAUUCGAACUUUCAUCGCAGCAGUCAGACAACUGUGAAACCAAAACAAAAACAAAAACGGCAAACGGUUAUGGAAGUUAAUGUUUCUGCAGAAAAUAAUUCAUUGUACAUUCGUAUACAUUGGAAUGAGAGAGCGUUAAGCGAUCGCAGAUAGUUACUGAUAAAGCACUAGACAAAAUUAAACGAACUGUAAUGUGUGUACUUCGCAGUCGUCGUUCCUCUUGAGGAAACAAAGCUAUUCGGAGCUUCUAACCUUGGAUUAAAAUUGCACAGUUGACUGGUGGAAUAUUCAAUGUAUAUUAGACUGAGCAUGUGCAACACGAAGAAAUCUCAGGAAACGGGAGUGCAAAUAAUGCGGAUGAAAUGUACUGCGAUCUGGUCCCAUCAACUGCCAACUAAUCAGUUGUUCCUGUCCUAAAGGAUGAAAAUGUGCAACAGGAAAAGAAGCAAAACCUUGAUGCUCUCACUCAUGUUUUGAAAAAACAUAUGAGAUUGAUUCGGUCGAGGUUGCGAUUAAAUCUGUCUAUUUGCACGAGCAAUGUUUAGAUGUAGAAUGUAGGAUGUAGGAAAUUACUGUGUAAAAGAUAAUGUAUGAUUGAAGACAGGUUUAUAAAUAAGAAUUAAUUAUCAACAACAUAAUGUCAUUAUCCCUUAUCAUUAUCUCUUACAAAUA